UCCUUGGUGGUCCAGUGGAUAGGACUCCGAGCUCCCAAAGCAGGGAGCCCAGGUUUGAUACCUGGUCGGGGAA
rfam:TPA: Bos taurus chromosome 17, whole genome shotgun sequence.